GCGUGGGUGGCGAAAUUGGUAGACGCACUACUUUGAGGUGGUAGCGCCGCGAGGCGUGUGAGUUCGAAUCUCAUCCCGCGCACUA
rnacentral:tRNA from 1 species